GAUGAAUGCUGGCGGCGUGCCUAACACAUGCAAGUCGAGCGGUAACAGGUCUAGUUUACUAGAUGCUGACGAGCGGCGGACGGCUGAGUAACGCGUGGGAAUCUGCCCCAAAGUGAGGGAUAACUGCCCGAAAGGGUAGCUAAUACCGCAUAUGGUCUUCGGAUUAAAGUAUUUAUACGCUUUGGGAGGAGCCCGCGUCGGAUUAGGUUGUUGGUAGGGUAAUGGCCUACCAAGCCGACGAUCCGUAGCUGGUCUGAGAGGAUGAUCAGCCAGACUGGGACUGAGACACGGCCCAGACUCCUACGGGAGGCAGCAGUGAGGAAUCUUCCACAAUGGGCGAAAGCCUGAUGGAGCAACGCCGCGUUGAAGGAUGAAGGCCCUCGGGUUGUAAACUUCUUUUAUGAGUGAAGAAUAUGACGGUAACUCAUGAAUAAGCACCGGCUAACUACGUGCCAGCAGCCGCGGUAAUGUCU
rnacentral:rRNA from 1 species